GAGUAAUGCUUGGGAAUCUAGCUUAUGGAGGGGGAUAACUACGGGAAACUGUAGCUAAUACCGCGUAGUAUCGGAAGAUGAAAGUGUGGGACCUUCGGGCCACAUGCCAUAGGAUGAGCCCAAGUGGGAUUAGGUAGUUGGUGGGGUAAUAGCCUACCAAGCCGACGAUCUCUAGCUGGUCUGAGAGGAUGACCAGCCACACCGGGACUGAGACACGGUCCGGACUCC
rnacentral:rRNA from 1 species